rnacentral:lncRNA from 1 species
AAGAAGUGAUUGUAAUGUGGAUAUCACUGCAGGAUGUGACAUGACAUGCCAGUGGAAAGAUGCAGCAGAUAUCAGCAGAGGAAGUAGAUCAGCAGAGUCACUUUAAUGAUGAAGGCUGUGGAAAUGUGUGGAAAUGGUUACAGAAAGCAGGAGGCAGUCCAGCUGUUUCACAGUGGGCAGGGACUUCCCAGAACAGCGGUUAAUCAGAAGCUAACAUGGUGGAUUAACUUCCAGGAUGGAGCUGUUGUAGCCUCAACACCAGCUUACUUACAGACACAGGUAAAGGUCCUCAGAUCCCCAAAUGCCCAUGCGGACAGAGCUCCACAAGUGAUGCCAACCUCACAGAGCAAGGGCUCUGCCAGGCACAAGGUGCCAUCUGCCAA